GAUGAACGCUGGCGGCGUGCCUAAUACAUGCAAGUCGAGCGAACAGACGAGGAGCUUGCUCCUCUGACGUUAGCGGCGGACGGGUGAGUAACACGUGGAUAACCUACCUAUAAGACUGGGAUAACUUCGGGAAACCGGAGCUAAUACCGGAUAAUAUAUUGAACCGCAUGGUUCAAUAGUGAAAGACGGUUUUGCUGUCACUUAUAGAUGGAUCCGCGCCGCAUUAGCUAGUUGGUAAGGUAACGGCUUAUCAAGGCGACGAUGCGUAGCCGACCUGAGAGGGUGAUCGGCCACACUGGAACUGAGACACGGUCCAGACACCUACGGGAGGCAGCAGUAGGGAAUCUUCCGCAAUGGGCGAAAGCCUGACGGAGCAACGCCGCGUGAGUGAUGAAGGUCUUCGGAUCGUAAAACUCUGUUAUUAGGGAAGAACAAAUGUGUAAGUAACUAUGCACGUCUUGACGGUACCUAAUCAGAAAGCCACGGCUAACUACGUG
rnacentral:rRNA from 1 species